rnacentral:rRNA from 1 species
AACGAACGCUGGCGGCAUGCCUAACACAUGCAAGUCGAACGAGACCUUCGGGUCUAGUGGCGCACGGGUGCGUAACGCGUGGGAAUCUGCCCUUGGGUUCGGAAUAACAGUUGGAAACGACUGCUAAUACCGGAUGAUGACGUAAGUCCAAAGAUUUAUCGCCCAAGGAUGAGCCCGCGUAGGAUUAGCUAGUUGGUGAGGUAAAGGCUCACCAAGGCGACGAUCCUUAGCUGGUCUGAGAGGAUGAUCAGCCACACUGGGACUGAGACACGGCCCAGACUCCUACGGGAGGCAGCAGUGGGGAAUAUUGGACAAUGGGCGAAAGCCUGAUCCAGCAAUGCCGCGUGAGUGAUAAAGGCCUUAGGGUUGUAAAGCUCUUUUACCCGGGAUGAUAAUGACAGUACCGGGAGAAUAAGCUCCGGCUAACUCCGUG